GAUGAACGCUGGCGGCGUGCCUAAUACAUGCAGGUCGAGCGAACAGACGAGGAGCUUGCUCCUCUGACGUUAGCGGCGGACGGGUGAGUAACACGUGGAUAACCUACCUAUAAGACUGGGAUAACUUCGGGAAACCGGAGCUAAUACCGGAUAAUAUAUUGAACCGCAUGGUUCAAUAGUGAAAGACGGUUUUGCUGUCACUUAUAGAUGGAUCCGCGCCGCAUUAGCUAGUUGGUAAGGUAACGGCUUACCAAGGCAACGAUGCGUAGCCGACCUGAGAGGGUGAUCGGCCACACUGGAACUGAGACACGGUCCAGACUCCUACGGGAGGCGGCAGUAGGGAAUCUUCCGCAAUGGGCGAAAGCCUGACGGAGCAACGCCGCGUGAGUGAUGAAGGUCUUCGGAUCGUAAAACUCUGUUAUUAGGGAAGAACAAAUGUGUAAGUAACUAUGCACGUCUUGACGGUACCUAAUCAGAAAGCCACGGCUAACUACGUG
rnacentral:rRNA from 1 species